UCCUGGGUGGCUCAGACACUAAAGUGUCUGUCUGUAAUGCGGGAGAUCCAGGUUCGAUCCCUGGGUCAGGAA
rfam:TPA: Bos taurus chromosome 1, whole genome shotgun sequence.